rnacentral:rRNA from 1 species
CCUACGUGUAGCAGCCGUGAGGAAUAUUGGUCAAUGGGCGGGAGCCUGAACCAGCCAAGCCGCGUUAGGGAAGAAGGUACAGCGUAUCGUAAACCUCUUUUGUCAGGGAACAAAGGCGGGGACUAGUCCCCUGAUGAGGGUACCUGCAGAAAAAGCAUCGGCUAACUCCGUGCCAGCCGCCGCGGUAAUACGGGGGAUGCGAGCGUUAUCCGGAUUUAUUGGGUUUAAAGGGUGCGCAGGCGGCCUGUUUAGUCCGCGGUAAACGCCCGGGGCUAAACCCCGGCGAGCCGUUGAAACUGGCGGGUUGGAGUUGGAGAGAAGUACGCGGAAUGCGCGGUGUAGCGGUGAAAGGCUUAGAUAUCGCGCAGAACCCCGAUUGCGAAGGCAGCGUACCGGCUCCACACUGACGCUGAGGCACGAAAGCGUGGGUAUCGAACAGGAUUAGAUACCCUAGUAGUC